rnacentral:rRNA from 1 species
AGGGCGGCGCUAACUGCAGUCGAAGCUGGAUGGGCUUUCGGGCUCAUCUGGAGUGGCGAACGGGUGCGUAACACGUGAGCGACCUGCCUGGAUGUGGGGGAUAACCGGGGGAAACCUCGGCUAAUACCGCAUAGGCUUGUCUCGUCGAGGGGCAAGUGAAAGGUCCUGCAAGGGACUGCGUCUGGAGGGGCUCGCGGCGUAUCAGCUGGUUGGUGGGGUAACGGCCCACCAAGGCGACGACGCGUAGCUGAUCUGAGAGGAUGAUCAGCCACAUUGGGACUGAGAUACGGCCCAGACUCCUACGGGAGGCAGCAGUGGGGAAUCUUGCGCAAUGGCCGAAAGGCUGACGCAGCGACGCCGCGUGAGGGAGGACGGUCUUCGGAUUGUAAACCUCUGUCGCCCGGGACGAAGAAUGCGGGGAGGCAAUGCCUCGCAUGUGACGGUACCGGGAAAGGAAGCACCGGCUAACUCCGUGCCAGCAGCCGCGGUAAUACGGAGGGUGCGAGCGUUGUUCGGAAUUACUGGGCGUAAAGCGCGCGCAGGCGGUCCUUUAAGUCUCAGAUGUGAAAGACCGGGGCUCAACCCCGAGCGAGCACGGGAUACUGGAGGACUGGAGACAUGCAGGGGCAGAUGGAAUUCCGGGUGUAGCGGUGGAAUGCGUAGAGAUCCGGAAGAACACCGGUGGCGAAGGCGGUCUGCUGGGCAUGGUCUGACGCUGAGGCGCGAAGGCGUGGGGAGCGAACAGGAUUAGAUACCCUGGUAGUCCACGCGGUAAACGAUGGGCACUAGACGUGGGGGGGAUCGACCCCUUCCGUGUCGCAGCUAACGCGUGAAGUGCCCCGCCUG